rnacentral:rRNA from 1 species
UACGUAGGGUGCGAGCGUUAAUCGGAAUUACUGGGCGUAAAGGGUGCGCAGGCGGUCCCGCAAGGCAGGCGUGAAAUCCCCGGGCUUAACCUGGGAAUGGCACUUGAAACUACGGGACUGGAGUGUGGCAGAGGGAGGUGGAAUUCCACGUGUAGCGGUGAAAUGCGUAGAUAUGUGGAGGAACACCAAUGGCGAAGGCAGCCUUCUGGGCCAACACUGACGCUCAUGCACGAAAGCGUGGGGAGCAAACAGG